rnacentral:lncRNA from 1 species
CUAGAUGCCAUUGUCAACAGAGAAUUGGAUAAUGUAGCACAAUCAUUAUCGGAUCAUAUCCGUGCGCAGCAAGCGACAAGUGGUGGUACACCGAGAACUUCAAUUGGAGCUGAGUCUAGUUCUGCUUCUGGUACCCCAAGAUAUAUAACUGAAGAUCGUUUGAAAGAAAUGUUUGGUAUUUAUAGGCAGCAUACAAUAUCAGAUGUGUCCGAUCUAUGUGGCAACUUGAAGACAGACUUUGUUAAAGAAUCAAGAGCCCUAAACCACGCGAUCCUUGACAACCAAAAGCUAAUGUUCAAAUAACAGACCAAAUCAUCGCAAGAUUACAUGCAACAUGGUUUACAUUCGUACAUAGAUAAUUUUCUAUCUGGUUUGUUUCAGAGUCAUAUGGCCCACGAAUCGAAAACACAAGAAGCCCAUUAUCAGGCAGUUCUGCAAAGACAAGAAGAAUUAUUUCAACAGCAACAAGAGCAAAUACGGUAUUAUGUGGAUUUCAGUUUAUGUUCCGUGAAAUCAUACACCGACGAACAUACUGAGAAUAUGCAGAAUAGAUUAUCUAACUGGGAAUCGAACAUGAAAGCCAUUAUAAGUUCCAUAAAACAAGAUGUCUCUCCUCAUGCAAGUCCAAAUCCUACUGAUCAUGAACAGGAGACGUCAACGUCUCAACAAAUUGAACAUGCUCAAAGGUUAAGAAGAGAAAGGGAAAGGAAGAGGAAGUGCACAUAGUCUUCAUCAUCGA